CAGAGAAACCCACAUUCCAUCAGAGAAUCCGCUCGGGAAUCGGCAACAAUGGACGCAAACGUGGACCACUACCAUGUGCUGGGGCUUCCAUCGGGCGAAGAAGGCGCCAAACUCACCGAAAAGGACAUCUCAAAAGCUUACAGGAACAAGGCGCGUGAGCUUCACCCUGACAAGAGACCCGACGACCCCAACGCCCACUCCGAUUUCCAGAACCUCAAAGCUUCCUACGAGAUUCUCAAGGACGAUAAGGCUCGCAAGUUAUUCGAUGAUCUCUUGCGCGUUAAGCGCGACCAGCAGCGCCGCCAGGAGCAGCGCGACGGUAAGCGCCGCAAGAUGGUCUCCGAUCUCGAGCAGAGGGAACGCGAUGCCUUUGCUCCUGAUCCUGCCGCGAAGGCCAGGGAAGAGGAGGAGAGGAUCGCGAGGCAGCUCAAGGAAGAGAUUGCGAGGAUUAGGGCUAUGCUUGCGAAGAAAGGGGCGCCGGAAGCUGCUGCUUCUCCGGCGGCUAAGAAGACGGAGGCGAAGAGUGGCGGUGUUGGGUUGGAACAUGAGAAGAUUCUGAAGGUUUCGUGGGAGAAAACGGGCGAGGAUUAUUCGGCGAGUAAGCUGAGGGAGUUGUUUAGCAAGUUUGGUGAAGUGGAAGAUGUGGUCAUCAAGGGUGGUAAGAAGAAGGGUUCUGCUCUUGUUGUCAUGGCCAAUAAAGAAGGAGCUGUUAAUGCAACAGGAAGUAUGAUUGGUCACCUCGCUAAUCCAUUGCUGGUCGUACCGCUCAAACCCAUAACCAAAGCAGAUUCUUCAAGUGCACCAAAGGCCGUGGAAGUUGAUAGAAUCAAUAAUCUGGUUGGGGCUGGGCAUCAAGCUUUCGAGAAUUCUGUUCUUCAGAAACUGCAGAAGGCUGCGGAGAAACAAAAAGGAUGAUUUUGGAUGUUAAACUUUGGGAAUGGACUGUAUGGCUCAUGGUCAUCCUGAACUCUAAACUUUAGGACUAUGCAACCUAUGGUGAUAUAAUUCAAGGAAUUUUCCUUUUAAUGAAACCAUAAACUUAAAGAGUUUUUGAAGCAGCUGUGGUUUUUUUUUCAUGUUUGAGUCCAUGACUCAUGCUGUUGCUGCUGGGAUGUGAACAGAAAGCAAUUGCCGGUACAUACAAAAUCAGGGUCCUGCAUCUUUCAUGGUGAUUUGUAUGUUGGUGUCAUUCCACUGUCUUUAUUCAACAGUACAUUGGGAAUGGAGCUUAAAAGAGAUUUAAAAGAAUGGUAUCAACAUGGUGGACAAAGAUGUUAUGAAAUGUACCUAUGACAGUCGACAUGGAAUUGGAAGAAAAAUAUCCAUUGAUGAUGAUGGUUCUCUUACUCCCGAUUUCCGAGAACAAGCAAUAAGUUGUAUUGACAGAGUGGGGUCUCUCGAUAGAAUAGUGCCUUUUGCUCCAAACGUUGUAAUGCAUGUUCAACUCUGUAUAUUCCAUGUUUUAGUGUUGUUCAUAGUGAAUGAUUACCGUUGCCUUUAAUCAAGACACUUACUUCUUUUACCAAUGAGUUAGUUACUUGUUUGUGUGGGGACUAUCAAUUUGAUUUUAAUUUCUUUAUUUUCCA